rnacentral:rRNA from 1 species
GAUGAACGCUGGCGGCGUGCUUAACACAUGCAAGUCGAACGGGAAAUCUUUCAUUGGGACUUCGGUGGAUUUGAUUUAUUUCUAGUGGCGGACGGGUGAGUAACGCGUGGGUAACCUGCCUUAUACAGGGGGAUAACAGUCAGAAAUGGCUGCUAAUACCGCAUAAGCGCACAGAGCUGCAUGGCUCAGUGUGAAAAACUCCGGUGGUAUAAGAUGGACCCGCGUUGGAUUAGCUAGUUGGUGGGGUAACGGCCCACCAAGGCGACGAUCCAUAGCCGGCCUGAGAGGGUGAACGGCCACAUUGGGACUGAGACACGGCCCAGACUCCUACGGGAGGCAGCAGUGGGGAAUAUUGCACAAUGGGGGAAACCCUGAUGCAGCGACGCCGCGUGAAGGAAGAAGUAUCUCGGUAUGUAAACUUCUAUCAGCAGGGAAGAUAGUGACGGUACCUGACUAAGAAGCCCCGGCUAACUACGUG